GAUGAACGCUGGCGGCGUGCCUAAUACAUGCAAGUCGAGCGAACAGACGAGGAGCUUGCUCCUCUGACGUUAGCGGCGGACGGGUGAGUAACACGUGGAUAACCUACCUAUAAGACUGGGAUAACUUCGGGAAACCGGAGCUAAUACCGGAUAAUAUAUUGAACCGCAUGGUUCAAUGGUGAAAGACGGUUUUGCUGUCACUUAUAGAUGGAUCCGCGCCGCAUUAGCUAGUUGGUAAGGUAACGGCUUACCAAGGCAACGAUGCGUAGCCGACCUGAGAGGUGGAUCGGCCACACUGGAACUGAGACACGGCCCAGACUCCUACGGGAGGCAGCAGUAGGGAAUCUUCCGCAAUGGGCGAAAGCCUGACGGAGCAACGCCGCGUGAGUGAUGAAGGUCUUCGGAUCGUAAAACUCUGUUAUUAGGGAAGAACAAAUGUGUAAGUAACUAUGCACGUCUUGACGGUACCUAAUCAGAAAGCCACGGCUAACUACGU
rnacentral:rRNA from 1 species